rnacentral:rRNA from 1 species
AGCGAACGCUGGCGGCAGGCUUAACACAUGCAAGUCGAGCGGGCAUAGCAAUAUGUCAGCGGCAGACGGGUGAGUAACGCGUGGGAACGUACCUUUUGGUUCGGAACAACACAGGGAAACUUGUGCUAAUACCGGAUAAGCCCUUACGGGGAAAGAUUUAUCGCCGAAAGAUCGGCCCGCGUCUGAUUAGCUAGUUGGUGAGGUAAUGGCUCACCAAGGCGACGAUCAGUAGCUGGUCUGAGAGGAUGAUCAGCCACAUUGGGACCGAGACACGGCCCAAACUCCUGCGGGAGGCAGCAGUGGGGAAUAUUGGACAAUGGGCGCAAGCCUGAUCCAGCCAUGCCGCGUGAGUGAUGAAGGCCCUAGGGUUGUAAAGCUCUUUUGUGCGGGAAGAUAAUGACGGUACCGCAAGAAUAAGCCCCGGCUAACUUCGUGCCAGCAGCCGCAGUAA